CCUACGGGAGGCAGCAGUGGGGAAUCUUGCGCAAUGGACGAAAGUCUGACGCAGCCACGCCGCGUGAGUGAAGAAGGCCUUCGGGUUGUAAAGCUCUGUCGCCCGGGACGAACAUCCGGUGGGUUAACAGCCCAUCGGACUGACGGUACCGGGAAAGGAAGCACCGGCUAACUCUGUGCCAGCAGCCGCGGUAAUACAGAGGGUGCAAGCGUUGCUCGGAAUCAUUGGGCGUAAAGGGUAGGUAGGUGGUCUCGUUUGUCUGGGGUGAAAGCCCAGGGCUUAACCCUGGAAGUGCCCCGGAAACGGCGAGACUAGAGUUCUGGAGAGGGUCGUGGAAUUCCCGGUGUAGCGGUGAAAUGCGUAGAGAUCGGGAGGAACACCAGAGGCGAAGGCGGCGACCUGGACAGAUACUGACACUCAACUACGAAAGCGUGGGGAGCAAACAGGAUUAGAUACCCUGGUAGUCCACGCUGUAAACGAUGGGAACUAGGUUUGGUGGGUCUUGACCCCCGCCGAACCGGAGCUAACGCAAUAAGUUCCCCGCCUGGGAAGUACGGUCGCAAGACUAAAACUCAAAGGAAUUGACGG
rnacentral:rRNA from 1 species